GAGCAAAGCAGAAUGAGAGAGAGAACACCUGUGUGUGCAUUAUUAAGCAUUUCAAAACCAGAACCGUGGGGACACCAAACAGGUGUGGGGUCCUUCUGAGCAUAUGCUGCAUCCCCAAGAAGCCACCCCUGCUUGCACACUUGAAUUUGGAUAUGUGUGUGUUAGCGUUGCUUUUGUACGUGGUGCGUCUGCGUGUGCGUGGACACAGUGGACAUUUGCCCUGGGCACCGCGUUCAUAUGCACCUGUCUGUACAAACGAGCCCAUAGGCGGUGGUAGAGCUCUUCGGUUCUGACCUCAAGGCCAGCAGGCACAAAUCUCCUUCCCUCAGAUCUGGAAUGUUCUAUCCCACCAGGACCCUGACCUCCUCCAGAGCGCCAGCAACAUUCACCCGAACCUCCUGUGGCCCACAGCGGGCAGCACAUCUCAGAUCCCGGAGGCCUGCCCCGGAGGCCCCAGAGCCCCGUGCUGCACCCUCUCCCCCCAUUCUGUCCUGACCCUCUCUUUCCCUUGUAAUAUGCUCAUCUGUGUUCCCCAUUAUCACCUCUCAGCCUGGGAGCCCUCUAAGCAGAACAGCUCAUCCCCCUUUCUCCCAUGGGCAAGCACCCAGCACAUAGUAGGUGCUCAGUGAAUACCAGCCCACUGGGAGGAGAUUGGGAAUAGGAGAGGCCCAGGCCUGCCUCCUGGCCAUUGUGAAUACCCCCCCUGGGCGGGUCACCCUUUUGCUGGUAAACCAGGGAAGCUAGCAGCACAGGGCAGUGAGCGGGAGGCUGGGCGAGCCCUCCCUCCACCUGCCUGGUACGGUAUCAGACAUGAAACUCAUCCCCCUGUCCCAAGGGCAGGCUCACACCUUCUCCGAUUCCUUCUCCCCAGAUGGGCUGCCUGCAGGGUCGACCAGAGGGAAGGGGUGCCCAGGCCCUUCGACAGCCGUAGCUCUGCGGGAGCCUUGAUAAUAAGCAUCUUGGUUUACACAUCAGCCCAUUCACCGCCCCCCCCCCAAAAAAACAGGGUUCCUCUUCCUGGCCUGACUCCCCAGGCUUCUGAACCUGAGAUUUUAAUAAAAUCAUUAUUCUUGUCGCAGGUAUCAGUGGCUCGCUCUGUCUGCGCCAGGCACAAUGGGAAACAGGGAACCCUACAUGCAAGAAUUUGGAGUGACGCAAGGAAUUUUAGUGUAUUCCAGGUUCUAAGAAGUCUUGCAUGAAAGAAAUCUGUUCAGUGUUAUUUAAACCAGCGUCACCGAAAUUCACUUGACGAUGAGACAAUUUUUACAGAAAACUUGUUAGCAUAUAGCAGUAUUUCCUGCAGCCAAGCAUUUAUUACACCUGUAAGAGGGCUGUACACGGUGCCAGGCCCUGGCCAUGCACUUUUUCAGGUAAUCCCGACAAAGAUCUCUGCCGGACAUGAGCGCCAGGCUCUGAGAAGUCCGGUGCUCUUCCCCUAUGGCUGCAAAGUCCCUUGUUGCCUCUCAACUACAAACCUGCAUUUGGAUUUUCCCCUGCUUUUACUGCAGCUCAAAGGCCAUGAUUCCUGGAGGGAGAAAGGGGAAAGCCUCUGCCUGCCAGCCUGCACCGUCGCUGACGGUUGGAUUUGCAAAUCUGGCCACAGGGACUGUUCACUUCCACAUUAGACAUCAACUCCCUCAACUGGGCCUCCUUAAAUAGAGCUAUGGGGGGGGGGCAGAAAUGGCAUGGUUAGAAAGAUGUUACCCCAUGCUCUCUAGGUACCCCCCUUCGCCCCGCCCCUUAAUGGGUAUGUCCUGGAUUUGUGAAGCCAAAGUUCUCGGCCUGCAAUUUAGAGACGCUGCCACCAGACGGCGAGCUGGACCAAGAUAAUGACCAAGUGAGGCCCGGGGACUGGCUCUGGUAGAGCGUCAGAGGUUGCUGUUUUAGGUUCCCCCUCAGGUUGUACUUGAUUAUAAGAGAAAUUAUGAAGAUGGUUCUGAGUCCCUCUGAGCAAUCGGGACUGCAUAAAGGAUGAAUAACUCUUCCACCAUGUGAAUUAAUGCUACUUAAGAUCUGGUCCCUGUACCUCUUUGAAACUUUUAAGAAUCACUGUGAAUUCCACCAUCUAGGGACUUCAGGAGCACAAAGAACAAGGAACAGUGUGGAAACAGCACCAAUGGGAUAAAGGACUUAA